GAUGAACGCUGGCGGCGUGCCUAAUACAUGCAAGUCGAGCGAAUGGAUUAAGAGCUUGCUCUUAUGAAGUCAGCGGCGGACGGGUGAGUAACACGUGGGUAACCUGCCCAUAAGACUGGGAUAACUCCGGGAAACCGGGGCUAAUACCGGAUAACAUUUUGAACCGCAGGGUUCGAAAUUGAACGGCGGCUUCGGCUGUCACUUAUGGAUGGACCCGCGUCGCAUUAGCUAGUUGGUGAGGUAACGGCUCACCAAGGCAACGAUGCGUAGCCGACCUGAGAGGGUGGUCGGCCACACUGGGACUGAGACACGGCCCAGACUCCUACGGGAGGCAGCAGUAGGGAAUCUUCCGCAAUGGACGAAAGUCUGACGGAGCAACGCCGCGUGAGUGAUGAAGGCUUUCGGGUCGUAAAACUCUGUUGUUAGGGAAGAACAAGUGCUAGUUGAAUAAGCUGGCACCUUGACGGUACCUAACCAGAAAGCCACGGCUAACUACGUGCCAGCCGCCGCAGUAA
rnacentral:rRNA from 1 species